UACGAAGGGGGCUAGCGUUGCUCGGAAUCACUGGGCGGUAAAGCGCACGUAGGCGGAUUGCUAAGUCAGGGGUGAAAUCCUGGAGCUCAACUCCAGAACUGCCUUUGAUACUGGCAACCUUGAGUCCGGGAGAGGUGAGUGGAACUGCGAGUGUAGAGGUGAAAUUCGUAGAUAUUCGCAAGAACACCAGUGGCGAAGGCGGCUCACUGGCCCGGUACUGACGCUGAGGUGACGAAAGCGUGGGGAGCAAACAGG
rnacentral:rRNA from 1 species